rnacentral:lncRNA from 1 species
CUUUCUGCGUCUGGUGAGAGCGCGGCCCAGCGACCUUAACUUUUCGCUUCAAAGCUCACAAGCCGCCUUUCCCGGGGUUCCAAUGCCAGUCUUCCAGUGCCAGUGCUGCUUCCCAGCCCACACAUCCCUCUCAUCACUGCUGCAUCCUAAGGAAGUCAGCAACCUUCAGGGGGUACUUGUUCCUGGAGCCAGAGUAGAGGAGGGUGGCGCUUCCAAGGCUGUGGGCAUCCAAAGAAAGAGUGCUGUCCAUCCUCCUCCUGCCUACUGAUCUCCCAUCAGCAGAACCCCACUGGAGACCUACUAGCAGCUUUUUUUAGGGCCGCUCUCGAAUCAGAGCUACAGCUGCCAGCUUAUAUCACAGCUACAGCAACAUAGGAUCCAAGCUAUGUCUGCGACCUACAAUGCGGCUCACGGCAACGCGGGAUCUCUAACCCACUGAGCAAAGCCAGGGAUCAAAACUACAUCCUCAUGGGUACUAGUCAGAUUCAUUUCCACUACACCACAACAGGAACUCCCUACAUUUGUUUUGUGGUAACAAUUACCUGGUAAAUUUCCAUCUUCCAAUAGAGUUGUGCUACUCUCUUUCACAGUUUUCUUACUGUAUUUUUGAGUAGGUAUUGUGCAUAUAACUUUCAUGGUCCUCAAAAUUAAAUCCUCUGUUAUUAUUAGGAGGUGAAGAGAAGGACCCGGAGAGCUUUAUAGAAUUAGUUCUCAUGGGCUCUUUCCUCCGUUGCUAUAGCAAAAAAAAAAAAAAAAAAAAAAAGUAUUUCCUUAAAAUACAGCAACUCUGUGAAGUCAUGCUUCCUGUGCCUCCAGGUACCUAACCAGGCUCUGAAAAGCUUCUACGUAUAGUUCUCAACUUCCUGAUUUAUUCACACACUGCAGAGACCCAGGCUUUGCCUUACAAAAUAAUAUGAUCCCUUUUAGAAAGUUAUUACUGGUGGUUUCUAAGAUCUACUAUCUCUGAUUAGGCACUUCGUAUCUUUCUCUCUCUUUAGUGUUUAGACCCUAAUCAAUCUCAGUUCUUUCCCAGAAUGUCCUCUUGAAUUCCUACAUAGACUUGCUGCACAGUGCUUAUGGUCUCAGUUGCUGACUACAGCAUUGACUGUAAUUUUGGAGUGUUGGGGUUUUGUUAGUCAGCUGUUUGCUGAAAAUUCAUUUUCUGUGACCUUAUUUUUUUUCUUCUUGUUGUUCUGGAUAGAUUUCAGGAGAAGGAAUGAAAAGUUUCAGAACUUAACAGACUCCCAUGUUCUCAUAGAAUGAUGAUAUAAUUUAUUUUUCUCCCAUGUUCUCAAAAGAAAUGAAAAAAUUCUCUGGAAGUACUAUGAUUAUUGGCUUUAGAUAAUGAACGAGAAUGUUCUAGUUAUCACCAGCCUAAUUCAAGCCAAUUAUAUAGAUUUUUCAUACCUACUAUAACAUUAAGGCUAUGUCUAGAAGAUAAUGUCACAAAGUAAUUUAAUGGAAAAUCAUUUAAGGCCUACAGUUCAGAUAAAUUAAGUUUUAAGCAAAAGAGGUUCUGAAAGAAGUAGAAGCAGCAUUUUAUUUUGAUAUGCUAAAAAAUGAAUUGCUAAUAAAAUGUUUCUCC